UUAACAUGAUGAUUUUUUAUCACCAUAUGUUUUUUUUUCUGGCAUCUCUAAUGUUAGGGUGAGUGACGUUUAAGUACCGAACUCACUCGAUGAAUACAACUUUGUGACUAUACUCUGAAA
rnacentral:snoRNA from 1 species